rnacentral:rRNA from 1 species
UACGUAGGGGCCUAGCGUUGUCCGGAAUUAUUGGGCGUAAAGAGCUCGUAGGCGGUUCGGCAAGUCGGAUGUGAAAUCUCCACGCUUAACGUGGAGGGGCCAUUCGAAACUGCCGUGACUCGAGUCCGGUAGGGGAGUGUGGAAUUCCCGGUGUAGCGGUGAAAUGCGCAGAUAUCGGGAGGAAUACCAGCGGCGAAGGUGGCCUUCUGGACGGUGACUGACGCUGAGACGCGAAAGCGUGGGGAGCAAACAGG